AACGAACGCUGGCGGCAUGCCUAACACAUGCAAGUCGAACGAGAUCCUUCGGGGUCUAGUGGCGCACGGGUGCGUAACGCGUGGGAAUCUGCCCUUAGGUUCGGAAUAACAGUUAGAAAUGACUGCUAAUACCGGAUGAUGACGUUAAGUCCAAAGAUUUAUCGCCUGAGGAUGAGCCCGCGUAGGAUUAGCUAGUUGGUGUGGUAAAGGCGCACCAAGGCGACGAUCCUUAGCUGGUCUGAGAGGAUGAUCAGCCACACUGGGACUGAGACACGGCCCAGACUCCUACGGGAGGCAGCAGUGGGGAAUAUUGGACAAUGGGCGCAAGCCUGAUCCAGCAAUGCCGCGUGAGUGAUGAAGGCCUUAGGGUUGUAAAGCUCUUUUACCCGGGAUGAUAAUGACAGUACCGGGAGAAUAAGUCCCGGCUAACUCCGUG
rnacentral:rRNA from 1 species